GACAGAGUUGCUACAGGCAACUGAUCAGUAACUUGGUUGUUAGUGACAUAAAUCACGUGGAAGAGCCCUGGAUGCUUUAUCAAAGGUUGAUCGUCUUUCAGCUGAAUUACAGUAUGACUGAGAAUCCAUUGUUGAUUCUUGGACCUGCUGUCUGGAGUCUGGACUUGCUGAAGGUGUUUAGUAAUUCCUUUUCCUCCAAAUAUUACUCAUAUAUUGAGUUUCAGUAUUGUGAUAUCAAGCUGCAUGGGCAAUUUUAUUUUAUGCUUCAACAUGGAAAUGCACUUUCUGUAGGUUUCACUAAAUAAUAUAAGGGAUUUAUUGAUGCAAUGUUGUUUGGAUGAUCCGCCUGAUGUUCGGCUAAGUGAUUUUGGUUUGCUUGAACUUGCAAGGGCAAGUGUAUAUAACCUUAGAGCUUAACCCACUUCAACGGCUUCAGAUUGUGUUUGAGUUUCUUUAGUACUGAUCCAAAUAUGGUCGGCAUUGUAUAUCUGUUGGGAAAACAGAAUGCCUUGAGAAGGCAAUCUUCUUUUCGCUGCUAACGUACUUAUGGUUGUUGCUACUAGGUGUGUUCUAUUCAUUUGCAAACUCGGUUGGUUGAAUUUCUCGAUAUUGCCACUAAGCAACUAGGCAUGGAA